rnacentral:misc_RNA from 1 species
AGAACAUGAACUACUAUGUAUCAUCAAGCAUGCAUAUAUCUAUCUAGCUGUGACAUUCUACAAAUUGGAAAUUUCCUAUUUCUAUGUAAGCAAAAACUAAUAAUUUUCCCAAAAUAUUUUUGAACCAACAACAAACAGAGUACACGACGAAUCAUCUCACGGAUGAUUUUCACCGAUGAGUUUGUUCAGAAGUGUUGUCAACAGGGCAUCCCUCUUUUCAGCUCGGGUCUCCUCUCUCGUUCUCCUUUGCUCCUCCCUCUCCCUCCAAGACUGUUCAAUCAUCAUCCUAUCUCUUUCAAGCUUCUCCAUUGAUGAUCGCCAUUCCUGCUCGAAUGCUUCUCUUUCACGAGCACGCUUCUCUGUUGUCUCCCUCCAUUGCAUUUCAAUCCUCAGCUGAUGCUGAAAGAAUUCUUUAAGCAUUUCUUGAAUAUUAUCAACAGCUCUACCAGUGUUGUUGUUAAUGCUACUCCCAAAGCUGGCUUGUCUUGAAGCUUUUUCUGCAUUGCUUGUUCUUGGACGCUUUUCUUUUUCGGGUUUCUUUUUUGGGAGCAACAUUGCUUCUGCCUAAUUUUACUUCAUCACUCUCGCAAGCAUAACCUUCUUCAUCUUCCGAGAUUUCCUCUGAAGAUCUGUCUCUACUUGUUCCGCGAGGCCUCUUCCUUGCCUGUUGGGAACCAGCCUCAGAUUCGAUCGGUACUCGAUGUACAUUAUUCAUAUUUGAUGAAAAGAGUGCAUGAAGCUCAUCAAAAUAUGGAAAUUGUCCGCCAUUAUCUGGAUCAGAUGUUUCCUUACCCUUGUAACGAUUAAUCAAAGUCUUCCACUUGCUUUUACAUUGUUCAGCACUUCUCCUGUACCCUCUCUCAUUAAUUCUAGCAGCUACAAUCUCCCAUAGACUCUUCAAAUUACUCCGCUUCGCCGAAGAGAACUCCAUCUCAAGCUCACCUCGAAUUGCUAUAAAAUCCCUAGUCUCUUGAGUACUCCACGGCGGAACACGCUCGUCCCGCUUAGGAAACUCAUCGUCUCCGCCUAAACCGCUGCCGGAAGAACCACCGGCGCCGGGAAGGAGGUGAAGGGGGUGCUGCGGAAGCAUCAAACGCUGGGUAAAUGGACCGAGUUUUUCAUUGCUUCCACCAAACAUUGAGUGUUUU